rnacentral:rRNA from 1 species
CAGUUAUUGGGUAUCAAAACCUAAUAGCGAAAUUAACAUAACUUAUUAUGGGAUUAGUUUUUAGAUUAUUUAUAGUCUAUUAAUUCAAUCCCGGGGCGUUCUAUUUGGUUAUGUAUAAUAAUAUUUAUAUUAUUUAUACCUCUAACUAGAGCGUACCUUGAGCAUAUAUGCUGUGACCCGAAAGAUGGUGAACUAUACUUGAUCAGGUUGAAGUCAGGGGAAACCCUGAUGGAAGACCGAAACAGUUCUGACGUGCAAAUCGAUUGUCAGAAUUGAGUAUAGGGGCGAAAGACCAAUCGAACCAUCUAGUAGCUGGUUCCCUCCGAAGUUUCCCUCAGGAUAGCUGGUGCAUUUAGAAAUUAUGUAAAAUAAUCUUAUCUGGUAAAGCGAAUGAUUAGAGGCCUUAGGGUCGAAACGACCUUAACCUAUUCUCAAACUUUAAAUGGGUAAGAACCUCACCUUUCUUGGUAUGAAGGUUGUGGUUGUGAUAUAAUGUGCCCAGUGGGCCACUUUUGGUAAGCAGAACUGGCGCUGUGGGAUGAACCAAACGUAAUGUUACGGUGCCCAAAUUAACAACUCAUGCAGAUACCAUGAAAGGCGUUGGUUGCUUAAAACAGCAGGACGGUGGACAUGGAAGUCGUAAUCCGCU